rnacentral:rRNA from 1 species
UACAGAGGUCUCAACCGUUGUCCGGAUUCACUGGGUUUAAAGGGUGCGUAGGUGGGUUGGUAAGUCAGUGGUGAAAUCCCCGAGCUUAACUCGGGAACUGCCAUUGAUACUAUCAGUCUUGAAUACCGUGGAGGUUAGCGGAAUACAUCAUGUAGCGGUGAAAUGCCUAGAUAUGAUGUAGAACACCGAUUGCGAAGGCAGCUCACUAAGUUGUAACUGACACUGAGGCACGAAAGCGUGGGUAGCGAACAGG